ACCAAGGACGGAUGCAGCGCAUUGUAAACCCCGCCAGGCCCGAAAGGGAGCAACGGUAGCAAAAGCGAGUAGGUCGUCCUUGGCUUUUUUUAG
rnacentral:SRP_RNA from 1 species